rnacentral:rRNA from 1 species
CAGUAGCCGCGGUAAUACGGAGGGUGCAAGCGUUAAUCGGAAUUACUGGGCGUAAAGCGCACGCAGGCGGUCUGACAAGUCAGAUGUGAAAUCCCCGGGCUUAACCUGGGAACUGCAUUUGAAACUGUCAGGCUGGAGUCUUGUAGAGGGGGGUGGAAUUCCAGGUGUAGCGGUGAAAUGCGUAGAGAUCUGAAGGAAUACCGGUGGCGAAGGCGGCCCCCUGGACAAAGACUGACGCUCAGGUGCGAAAGCGUGGGGAGCAAACAGGAUUAGAUACCCGAGUAGUCCCUGUCUCUUAUAC